rnacentral:lncRNA from 1 species
CAGAAAUAAAUUACAACAACCGAAACCAAUAUUUGUUAAACAAAGAACGGUUUGUGCGGAGGCGAGACACUCUUUCCUUAAUUCUUUAAUUGCCCGUAGUGUGACGGCUUGACGCAAUCAGAAUCCCAGGAUACAACCGCACCAUCUUCUGAUUUGCAACACUCAAAAUCAGAAGCCUAACGAACUCUAGUAAUGUGUGUACUCUCAGACUCGAUAACUAGAGAAGAGAAGAUGAAGGAGAUUGUGAUCUUUUGGAUGCAUAUGUCCA